rnacentral:rRNA from 1 species
UACGUAGGGGGCAAGCGUUGUCCGGAAUUAUUGGGCGUAAAGAGCGCGUAGGCGGUCCGAUAAGUCGGCUGUGAAAGUCAGGGGCUCAACCCUUGAAAGCCGGCCGAUACUGUCGGACUAGAGUCCGGAAGAGGCGAGUGGAAUUCCAGGUGUAGCGGUGAAAUGCGUAGAUAUCUGGAGGAACACCGGUGGCGAAGGCGGCGUUCUGGACUGUUUCUGACACUGAAUAACGAAAGCCAGGGGAGCAAACGGG